rnacentral:rRNA from 1 species
GAGUUUGAUCGUGGCUCAGGAUGAACGCUAGCGGCAGGCCUAACACAUGCAAGUCGAGGGGCAGCGGGAUUGAAGCUUGCUUCAGUUGCCGGCGACCGGCGCACGGGUGCGUAACGCGUAUGCAACCUACCCAUAACAGGGGGAUAACACUGAGAAAUCGGUACUAAUAUCCCAUAACAUCAUGAGGGGCAUCCUUCGUGGUUGAAAACUCCGGUGGUUAUGGAUGGGCAUGCGUUGUAUUAGCUGGUUGGUGAGGUAACGGCUCACCAAGGCGACGAUACAUAGGGGGACUGAGA